rnacentral:rRNA from 1 species
UACGUAGGGGGCAAGCGUUAUCCGGAUUUACUGGGUGUAAAGGGAGCGUAGACGGAAUGGCAAGUCUGAUGUGAAAGGCGGGGGCUCAACCCCUGGACUGCAUUGGAAACUGCCAGUCUUGAGUACCGGAGGGGUAAGCGGAAUUCCUAGUGUAGCGGUGAAAUGCGUAGAUAUUAGGAGGAACACCAGUGGCGAAGGCGGCUUACUGGACAGUGACUGACGUUGAGGCUCGAAAGCGUGGGGAGCAAACAGG